GAACAUUAUCAAAUAUUAUUAAUGUUGUAAAAUAUAUUGUUCAUUGUUAGUUCAUAUUAGCUAAGGCAUUACCAAAUGUUAAGGAAUAAACUCUUAUAGUAAAGUGUUACUAAAUUUUCUUUUACCAUUUCCUUCACAAUGUCUACUUAUUUCUAUGGCUAACAGAUUUUGUAACAUUUGUCUUUUUUACAGUCUUACCAUUGCUUGUAAGCUGGAUUGGGUAAGAUGGAUCAUCUUUAAAGGCACCAGGAGUUAAGGCAGAUGUGGAGGCACAAUGGGUGACACCAGACACACACCAAGCACAUUGUUCGGACAUUCAAUCAUGACAUGAUCCAGGUGGAUGCUGUCCAUUGAGGAAAGAGUUUGUUCAGCGGUUUCUGGAUAGAAUUAAUUCCAAAGAUGGGAAAAAGUGCACAUCCAGACAAGGAGCAAGCAAAAAGACAAGGAACUUGGUGCAGAGAAAAGCUGUGGCCAUUAACCCCCAUGUGAACAGCUUCAUGCAGUCCCUGAUUGAGUUCGAAUGGACGACUUCAAAGUAAAGGCCACUGUGGUCUGUCUGCCACAGUUUAAUGCAUUUAUUUUUAGUGUUAAAUGAAAUUCAAGUAGAAUAUUUAAAACUAUGGGCCAGUGUUCUUUUUACCACAGUGAAAUGUUACCUUUUAGUCGAUGAUGGACUUUAAACUGAAAACUUCAAACUAGGGAACAGUGUUCUAUUUGCCAGAGUUAAAUAUGUUACAGCAGGGGUCUCCAAACUUGUUUAUACUUGUUGAUUUUAUUUUAUGUUACUUGAUUAUAUGUUUAUUAUUGUUUAAAAUCUUGUUUUAAAUGUUUUGUUUCAAUUAAAUGUUUUUUUAAAUAAAAUUUUGAUACAAACAUUGCUUGGAUUGCCUUUUAAUUCAUUAUGUCAUGUCAAGGAUAGCAUUUUUACCAUAUUAAUAACUAUAGAUUUAAACCUAAAUCUCUAUCUAUUUUAUAUAAUAUUAUUGUAUUAACUGUAAUAAGUAAUAAAUAGUAUUUAUGGGUCAAUAUAGACAUUACAGUAAAUUACUGUAAAAAUAGACUACUGUAAUAAAAUAUUGUAAAAUUACAGUACAGUACUGCUUUGUAACUAUACAGUACUAGUU